rnacentral:rRNA from 1 species
CACAUGCAAGUCGAGGGGCAGCAUGAACUUAGCUUGCUAAGUUUGAUGGCGACCGGCGCACGGGUGAGUAACACGUAUCCAACCUUCCGUUUACUCAGGGAUAGCCUUUCGAAAGAAAGAUUAAUACCUGAUAGUAUGGUGAGAUUGCAUGAUAGCACCAUUAAAGAUUUAUUGGUAAACGAUGGGGAUGCGUUCCAUUAGGUAGUAGGCGGGGUAACGGCCCACCUAGCCGACGAUGGAUAGGGGUUCUGAGAGGAAGGUCCCCCACAUUGGAACUGAGACACGGUCCAAACUCCUACGGGAGGCAGCAGUGAGGAAUAUUGGUCAAUGGGCGAGAGCCUGAACCAGCCAAGUAGCGUGAAGGAUGAAGGUCCUACGGAUUGUAAACUUCUUUUAUACGGGAAUAAAGUAUCCUACGUGUAGGAUUUUGUAUGUACCGUAUGAAUAAGCAUCGGCUAACUCCGUGCCAGCAGCCGCGGUAAUACGGAGGAUGCGAGCGUUAUCCGGAUUUAUUGGGUUUAAAGGGAGCGCAGACGGGAGAUUAAGUCAGUUGUGAAAGUUUGCGGCUCAACCGUAAAAUUGCAGUUGAUACUGGUUUCCUUGAGUGCAGUUGAGGCAGGCGGAAUUCGUGGUGUAGCGGUGAA